rnacentral:tRNA from 1 species
AUCUUUGUAGCUCAGUGGUAGAGCGCCCGACUCAUAUUCGGAAGGUCGUUGGUUCAAACCCAACCAGAGAUA